rnacentral:rRNA from 1 species
UACGUAGGGUGCAAGCGUUACUCGGAAUUACUGGGCGUAAAGCGUGCGCAGGCGGUUUUGUAAGACAGAUGUGAAAUGCCCGGGCUUAACCUGGGAACUGCAUUUGUGACUGCAAGGCUAGAGUGUGUCAGAGGGGGGUAGAAUUCCACGUGUAGCAGUGAAAUGCGUAGAUAUGUGGAGGAAUACCGAUGGCGAAGGCAGCCCCCUGGGAUAACACUGACGCUCAUGCACGAAAGCGUGGGGAGCAAACAGG